GUGAACGCUGGCGGUAGGCCUAACACAUGCAAGUCGAACGGCAGCACAGUAAGAGCUUGCUCUUACGGGUGGCGAGUGGCGGACGGGUGAGGAAUACAUCGGAAUCUACUUUUUCGUGGGGGAUAACGUAGGGAAACUUACGCUAAUACCGCAUACGACCUACGGGUGAAAGCAGGGGAUCUUCGGACCUUGCGCGGUUGAAUGAGCCGAUGUCGGAUUAGCUAGUUGGCGGGGUAAAGGCCCACCAAGGCGACGAUCCGUAGCUGGUCUGAGAGGAUGAUCGGCCACACUGGAACUGAGACACGGUCCAGACUCCUACGGGAGGCAGCAGUGGGGAAUAUUGGACGAUGGGCGAAAGCCUGCUCCAGCCAUACCGCGUGGGUGAAGAAGGCCUUCGGGUUGUAAAGCCCUUUUGUUGGGAAAGAAAAGCAGCAGGUUAAUACCCCGCUGUUCUGACGGUACCCAAAGAAUAAGCACCGGCUAACUUCGUG
rnacentral:rRNA from 1 species